GAACGGAGAGAUUCAUCGUUAUUCCGCGGCGCGUCUCGCGUCGUUUCGAUAUCGUCACCCUCGGGUGGCGGUACGGCGUUCGUGUCGCGCGCGUCCGUGGACGGCGUGCACUUCUCUCUUAGUAAGACAUCGCGACCCGUUCGAUGUUGGUCUCGCGCCCUGCCCGGGCGCCCUGCGGCACUCGUGCCUAUGGACCGGGCGGCGGCCGGCCUACUGUCGGACGGUAUCAUGAUUUGAACCGCGCACGCGCUCUGCGCGUCCGGCACGACGCAAGGCGCCGCCGUGUGGGGGUCCUGCCGCGAGGCGGUCCUCGAUACGGUGGUGUCUGUUGUCGCAGCCGUUAGUCUCGGACUGUGCGCGUCUCGGUCUGCGAUGAUUCAGUUUCGGGCACUCGCAGGACCCGUCUUGAAACACGGACCAAGGAGUCUAGCAUGUGUGCGAGUCAUUAAGAUUUGAAAACUGAAAGGCGCAACGAAAGUGAAGGUGUGUGCUCGUCACGCGCUCAGGGAGGAUGGGGUGCGAUCUCGGUAGUACUCUCGCACUCC
rnacentral:rRNA from 1 species